GCGACUGUGGUCUAACGGCUAUGACAUCGGCCUUCCAAGCCGAUUAUCCGGGUUCGAAUCCCGGCGGUCGCA
rnacentral:tRNA from 1 species